UACGUAGGGUGCAAGCGUUGUCCGGAAUUAUUGGGCGUAAAGAGCUCGUAGGCGGUUUGUCGCGUCGGCUGUGAAAACCUGGGGCUCAACCCCGGGCCUGCAGCCGAUACGGGCAAACUAGAAUUCGGUAGGGGAGACUGGAAUUCCUGGUGUAGCGGUGAAAUGCGCAGAUAUCAGGAGGAACACCGGUGGCGAAGGCGGGUCUCUGGGCCGAUACUGACACUGAGAAGCGAAAGCGUGGGGAGCGAACAGG
rnacentral:rRNA from 1 species